rnacentral:rRNA from 1 species
UCAUGCAGCUACACCACCCUGAAUAUGCCUGAUCUUAGCUGCUAAGCGGGGUUGGGCCUGGUUUGUACUUGGAUGGGAGACUGCCUGGGAAUGCCAGGUGCUGUAAGCU